rnacentral:lncRNA from 1 species
GCGGACGGUGGCGCCGCCAUCGAGACCAAGGAGGAUUUCGAGUUCGAACUCGGCCUCGAGAUCCUCUCCGAGGGGCUCGAGGAGGUCGUCUUGAAGAUGAAGAAGAGCGAGACGGCCGAGUGCGUCAUCCCCAGCGACUGGAACACCUACGGGCAGAAGGUCAAGGCUGUGGUCACCCUCAAGGACUUCGAAAAGGAAAAGGAGAGCUGGAGCAUGGACACCGCGGAGAAGAUCUCCGCCGCCGAGAAGGUCAAGAACGUGGGUAACGACGCGUACAAGGGCGGCAAGCUCGGCCUCGCCGCCAAGAAGUACCUGAAGGCGCUCCAGUACAUCGAGUACGACCAGAACUUUGCCGACGAGGAAAAGGCGCAGACGAAGAAAAUCAAACUCUCCCUCUACCUCAACGGCGCCGCCGUGGCCAUCAAGCAGAAGGACUGGUCCAAGGCCGUCAACGACUCCAC